GUUCCGUCCACCACCUCCCCUCCGCUAGUUUUCCCGUCGCGAUAGAACCAAUCCCUCACUAGCCCUACCUCGUCUCCCGUCUCCAAUCGCAGCCGCCGCCGCACCCCAAUCCAAUCCCGCCGCUGGCGAUCUCCUCGUCCCCCUGCGCCGCCGCCCCCAACCUUCUAUUCCUCUCCCAAGGGAAUCUCAAGGGAAGGGUAGGGAAGGGAAGGGAAGGGAAGGCAAGGGAAGGGAAGGGAAGGAAGAGGGAGCGCCCAGAUCCACGGCGGCAUCAGCGCGCCGUCGUCGACCUGAUCCGUGUCCGUCCUCAAGGGAGGUCGGCCAUGGAGGUCCGACCCGGCCCGGCAGCAGCCAUGGACGGAUGGAGAUGCCCCAAACCCUACCCUCAAGGACGACGCCUCAACCUUCAAGGACGCGCGCCGGCGACCGCGGAUCUCCGGUGACGGCUAUGGAUGACUGCCCCGGAUCUGGACACACGACCUGCAGCUGCAGCAGCAGCUGGACGACCGAACGCACGAGCCCUCCCUCCCUCCCUCAUGGCUCUGCUUCCUCCUACCCUGCCCCCCUCACGUGGGCGUGGUGAGCUUCCUACCCCCCGUGCACAUCUCAUCAAAUCUAGAUUGCUCUGAACGUAUUUAUCCUGUAAGGGUUGUGUCGUAUGUUCUUCUUGCCAUAAAUAUUUCAGAAAAUAUCAGCAUUUGAUGAGUGGAUGAUAUGAAGGAAUCAUGCUGUUAGCUCAACUGUGUUAACGAUGCCUGUUAUUGUUUUCCAUGAUUUGCUUUUCAUUGGUACAAUUUUUUUAGCAUAUAUGGAGGCCAUCUAUUGUUCUGCACUAUCUUGUUUGUGGACUUACAUUUGACUACACUAUCUUAUAAAGGUCCCACAAAUAGAAGCGUUGCUCAUAUGCUCCUGAAUCAGGUGUGCAGUAUGAUGGAGUUUACAGAAUUGAGAACUGUUAGAUAAAGAUUGGUGUUCAGGUAAUUUUACUUCCUGUACAGAGGUUCCACAUGCUGCUCUCUACUUUGUGCCACUGAAUGAAAGAUCAAUGUAUAUUCUUUUGAUUUCUGUCACAGGGUACGUAUAAGGUCUUGAUGUUAAACUGAUGUAUUUUUAUUGCUUACUAAACCCUCCUAAGUCCUAACUCAACCACUUGAAGUUAAACUGAAGUAUUAAUCAAUCUUGUUUGCUUUCUUGUACGUGUAUGCCUACUUACCUUGCCCUAUAUGGCGAUCGAUGGCCAGCCAUAGAAAGGUUCUGAUUUUUUUAUUUUGUCAAGUUCAGUUCAUAUUUUUUUAUCCAUGUGGUGUUUAAACGAUGGCUAUGUAGAGUUCAUAGAAAUUGUGAGGCAUAGAAUUGAUUCAAUCUUCAGUUUUUUCCAAUUUGGUUCAGAGCUAUUACCUGCUACACCUACAGAUGUGAAAAGCUUACACUUUGCAAAUCCAAAAUUAAGCAGCAUAAUUUCUCACAGAUUAUAUAUAAAUUGAGUGACAACUGCUGGGACAUGUGCUUCUUUUGACCUAUUAUCUUGCUUUUGCAUGAUUAAUUGAAGGUCCAUAAGGCAGUUCUAUCUCUCUCGCUAACACAAUAAGUUUCUCUUUAACAAAAAAAUAAACAUAGGGCAGGAGCAUAGAUGGUGCACAGGAGAGCUGCCUUGUCAUUGAUAGAGGAAGUGUGAGAGCAUGCUAAUUGUGCAGGGAAGAGAAAUAAAAUGAAAGCGAAAAUGAGAAACAAAAGAGAAGAAUGUUAUGAUCUCAUGAUAAUGUCGGCCACCAGCCAGCGCCCACAGGAGUAUACCUAUAGGCGGUCCAAAGGUUAUCUAGGUUGGUAAAAAGCAAGGCCGCCUCAUAGUUGAGGAAGAUGAUGUGUAACCAAUGAAGAAGAUAUAUUAGGAUGGAACUCGAGGCAUUUUGUGGACUAGUAUCUAUAGUUUUUUGAUGCCUAUAAAGCAGAGGUUUGUGUGACAAAACAGAAGUAUCCAUGAAUUACUACUUUAUAAGAUUUAGGUUCCACUAUAAUGUUGUUGAUGAUAGCCAAGCCGAGAAAGAAGGAUCCCGAUCUCUGCCGUGGUCGACAAACAGCGCGAUGGGCGGAGCACCCAGCCCGUAGGCUCAUCCCCUUCUCCGAUCCACUCCGGCGGCGGCCAUCGUUGUCAAGGCAUCGGUUCAUGUGGUUUCCUGCUACUGGCAUAUCAAAGAGAUGCAGACGAGAGGAAGAGAGCCUCCCCCAAGCUAUGUCUAGGCGAUGCACAGGCGACGGCCACCCUUCCUGUUAUUGCCUCCAUGGCUGGCUGCUCAUCCCCAGGAACCUCCUCCCCUCUCACGUGCGUGAUUAAGUUGGAACACAGGUAUCUAGGGCAGGGCGUGGUCACAUUGCAGGAAGCAAGGAGCAGCGCAAAGUUGUCUCGGCCGUGCCCUGCAUCGAGGAGGAACACAUGUAUUUACAAAUCGAGGAAGAAAACAUGUAGUUUUCUGUAUUUUUCUGUUUGUUAUUUUGUAACUUUAUGCUUCACCUGUCCUGAAUUAUACCUAUACUCAUGUUGUCAGAUACAUAGGUAUACAGAUACAUAGCUAUGGAAGAUACGAUUUACUGAUACAUAUCUGAAUGUUAUAGCUAUAAAGAUACCUGAUUGUUAUAGCUGAAUGUAACAAAGAAAGUGGUAUGGAUGAAUGGUGUCGUUUCUUUACCCAUGCUGUGGUUGAAAUCGUUGUUUGGUUCCCAGGUUGAAUAAAUCCGACAUAUGUAAAUCAUCGAUGUUUUUCUGGAAGUAGUAUAGUAGGUUUAAGAUGGCUAAUGCUACAUCUACGUACAGAGAUACAAAGACUUACGUAAACUACCUAAACUAAAUCCUCUCCCCCCUGAUUUUAAUGGGGGUGGGCCCCUUCCUCUCCUUGUCUCCAAUCCUGAUCCACCACGUCUCUCAUUACGUUAGAUUACGUUACUUGUUUACGUAAGUGUAGCAUUGUCCGUUUAAGAUUGGGCGAUGAUUGGUUCAUUCGACUACUUAUAAUUUGGGUUUCUAUAGUUUCAAGAGGCUAACAAUUCCACCUUGGGUGUCUUAUCUCUAAGAUUCUAACUAUCAAAUAACAUUGCUUUGAAGUGUAGAUGUUCCGGGAUUGCUAGCUCCUGCCAGGUGAUCAGAAUUACUGCUUUGUUUAUUACUCAACGAUGUUGGACACUGGUUUCUCUAAAUAUCUUUUACAAGUACAGUUUCUACUUUUUUCUGCAGAAAUACAACAUGGUAGUCUUGAAGUAAAUACCAAUCAUGUGAUCCGAUAUGUUGUUUCAGAACAAUAGACCAUCAAUAUUAUUUUCGCCUCGUGUUCUAGAGGAGGACAGCUAAUUAAGAGAAAACUUCGGUGGGAUAGAGACAGAAGUUUGCUAUAUUUCACAAUACCCAAACCGAAUUUCAUUGCUGAUUCUUCUGCCCUGAACUUUGCCCAUGCCAAUUACAUUUUGUAGACCCUAUUUAAGGAAACUACUUCGUUUACACCAUCCCAUUGGCAUGUCUAUUAGCAGUAAUGAAACUUAAAUGAACACUUCUAGGCUAGAUAUUAUUGAGGUGUUGUGUAUGUUGGUCCUUUUUAUAGAUCUUGCCAUCUUUGUUUGCCAGGUGAUCAGUCAUUUAAAGUAUUUGAGAAACUUGAAGGGAAGCACAUGGCAAAGCCAUAAUUACCUUUUAGUUAUAUUUCAAGUUGUAGGAAAGUUGGAAUCAAUCUGGAAAGCAUCUUUCUAUUGCAGAUAUUUUAUUGUGGCUUGAAGACUUACACUCUGUUUGAUGUUACAGAAAUAGUGAGGUUAUGCCACAAUGCUGAUAGACUUGGUACUUGUAGGAUGGAGAGGAGAAGACUGAAAAGGAUGUUGAUAUGAGGAAUUCAAGGAAGUGGAAGAGGAAGAAAGUUCUGAUGAUGGUGAUAAUUAGAAUAUCAAGUUUGACGACGAUGAUGAUUGGAACCAAGAGGAGGAAGUACCUGCUGCUAAAACCCACCAAAGAAUUAGCAAGAAAAUUGAUGGUGGGAGCUAGCAAUGCCGGCAGUGCCUCCUUUAGGAUUACAAAAUCGUUAAUCCUAUCUUCGCUUGCAUGUGACUGAUGGUGAUGCUACACAAGUUCUGAAGGCAGUGCCCUCCCCUUGAGCAGGAGAUCUUGCUGGUUCUGCAUGGCACAACUGGAUUAAAUAUGCUACAGCAAGCGAAGGAGUUCAAUGAUUUUGUUGGAAUCAAAGGAUUCAUCCUAACGAAGACGGGACUGCUCGUGUUGGUUGUGUGGUACAGGCGAUUUCCAGUGCUUUAUUGUAACAGUACAAAUUCCAGUCCUGGAUCUUAAAUAAACGACAACUAAACUUGCUGACCUGAAUCCUGUCUCAGGUGAGUGUUCAUAGACGAACUUGGAGUUCUAGCCAAGUUUGUUGGCGUCGGCGAAGGGGUGGAAGAUCUCCAACCUUUUGAUGCAGAAGCAUUUAUUGAAGCCAUUUUCCCAUAAAAGUGACCCAGUUAUUAGUGUUUCUCAUGUAACAAGAUUUUGGCUAGCAUGCUACUCCCUCCGUUUCUAAAUAUAUGUCUUUUUAGGAAUUCUAAUAUGGACUACGGCUGUGUUUGGUUGAGCUGCAGAUUCUGGAAAAGCAGCUGUGGAAAAGCUGCUGUGGAAAAGCUGCUGUGAAAAUGCUGCUGUAGAAAAGCUGGAGGCUGUUUGGUUAAAACGACUGUGAAACUGUAGAUUUGGUUGUAAAUUGUCUGUAAUGCCCCUGGCAGCUGAGUGAAUAUGUUUAUAUGCUAAUUGACCUUAAAGUAGUGACAUGUACAUUUGUAGGGAAUUGGACGAUCAUUUGACAUAGAAAAAAAAUAUGACAAUGUAAGCAAUUUAUAGUAACACAUACACAAUUGAACAACUAUACUUUGAUGUUGCAUACAUUUAUAUAGAUAAUGCUCCCAUAAUAUUAUUACAAAGA